rnacentral:rRNA from 1 species
CGCGUAGGCGGCUCGGCAAGUCGAAUGUGAAAGCCCACGGCUCAACCGUGGAAGUGCAUUCGAAACUGCUUGGCUUGAGUCCCGGAGAGGGUGGCGGAAUUCCCAGUGUAGAGGUGAAAUUCGUAGAUAUUGGGAGGAACACCGGUGGCGAAGGCGGCCACCUGGACGCGGACUGACGCUGAGGCGCGAGAGCGUGGGGAGCAAACA